AUUAGAGUUUGAUCCUGGCUCAGGAUGAACGCUAGCGGCAGGCUUAACACAUGCAAGUCGAGGGGUAUAGUUCUUCGGAACUAGAGACCGGCGCACGGGUGCGUAACGCGUAUGCAAUCUACCUUUCACAGAGGGAUAGCCCAGAGAAAUUUGGAUUAAUACCUCAUAGUAUAUAUGAAUGGCAUCAUUUAUAUAUUAAAGUCACAACGGUGAAAGAUGAGCAUGCGUCCCAUUAGCUAGUUGGUAAGGUAACGGCUUACCAAGGCAACGAUGGGUAGGGGUCCUGAGAGGGAGAUCCCCCACACUGGUACUGAGACACGGACCAGACUCCUACGGGAGGCAGCAGUGAGGAAUAUUGGACAAUGGGCGCAAGCCUGAUCCAGCCAUGCCGCGUGCAGGAUGACGGUCCUAUGGAUUGUAAACUGCUUUUAUACGAGAAGAAACCCUCCGACGUGUCGGAGCUUGACGGUAUCGUAAGAAUAAGGAUCGGCUAACUCCGUGCCAGCAGCCGCGGUAAUACGGAGGAUCCAAGCGUUAUCCGGAAUCAUUGGGUUUAAAGGGUCCGUAGGCGGUCAGGUAAGUCAGUGGUGAAAGCCCAUCGCUCAACGGUGGAACGGCCAUUGAUACUGUCUGACUUGAAUUAUUAGGAAGUAACUAGAAUAUGUAGUGUAGCGGUGAAAUGCUUAGAGAUUACAUGGAAUACCAAUUGCGAAGGCAGGUUACUACUAAUGGAUUGACGCUGAUGGACGAAAGCGUGGGUAGCGAACAGGAUUAGAUACCCUGGUAG
rnacentral:rRNA from 1 species